AGCCUGAUGCAGCAACGCCGCGUGAGGGACGAAGGCCUUCGGGUUGUAAACCUCUUUUAGCAGGGAAGAAGCGAAAGUGACGGUACCUGCAGAAAAAGCACCGGCUAACUACGUGCCAGCAGCCGCGGUAAUACGUAGGGUGCAAGCGUUGUCCGGAAUUAUUGGGCGUAAAGAGCUCGUAGGCGGUUUGUCACGUCUGCUGUGAAAUUUCAAGGCUCAACCUCGAACUUGCAGUGGGUACGGGCAGGCUAGAGUGCGGUAGGGGAGAUGGGAAUUCCUGGUGUAGCGGUGGAAUGCGCAGAUAUCAGGAGGAACACCAAUGGCGAAGGCACAUCUCUGGGCCGUAACUGACGCUGAGGAGCGAAAGCGUGGGGAGCAAACAGGAUUAGAUACCCUGGUAGUCCACGCCGUAAACGGUGGGUGCUAGCUGUGGGCCACAUUCCACGUGGUCCGUGACGAAGUUAACACAUUAAGCACCCCGCCUGGGGAGUACGGUCGCAAGACUA
rnacentral:rRNA from 1 species